AGUGAACGCUGGCGGUAGGCCUAACACAUGCAAGUCGAACGGCAGCACAGUAAGAGCUUGCUCUUACGGGAGGCGAGUGGCGGAGGGGUGAGGAAUACAUCGGAAUCUACUUUUUCGUGGGGGAUAACGUAGGGAAACUUACGCUAAUACCGCAUACUACCUACGGGUGAAAGCAGGGGAUCUUCGGACCUUGCGCGAUUGAAUGAGCCGAUGUCGGAUUAGCUAGUUGGCGGGGUAAAGGCCCACCAAGGCGACGAUCCGUAGCUGGUCUGAGAGGAUGAUCCGCCCCACCGGAACUGAGACACGGUCCAGACUCCUACGGGAGGGAGCAGUGGGGAAUAUUGGACAAUGGGCGCAAGCCUGAUCCAGCCAUACCGCGUGGGUGAAGAAGGCCUUCGGGUUGUAAAGCCCUUUUGUUGGGAAAGAAAAGCAGCAGGUUAAUACCCCGCUGUUCUGACGGUACCCAAAGAAUAAGCACCGGCUAACUUCGUG
rnacentral:rRNA from 1 species